UUGGCUGUCCACUCAUAACUAUAAGAUAAUUAAAACGGGGGGGGGCAGGGUUAAAAAAACUUUUUAUCAGCCAUAGGUUAAUUCAAGUGUUUAACAGAUGCUUCACUAUUAAAAUCCCCCCCCCCCCCCCCAAAUAUUGAAGAAUCUCAAACCAGCAACCCGAAGACAGACUUUGGAGGUUUUCAAAGUGGGGCACCUCGAUUUCUCAGAAUCUGUGGUGUGGCGAGUACCCGUGUUCCGCUGGUUUAACUAGCCUGUUUGCACCAUUAUCUGCUAAGCUCCAAACCAGGGGGCCAAAGCUUCGUGUAUCUCAAAAACCCGAAUGCAGAGACUAGAGCUUCAGAAAGGCAGUCUGGAGGUAGCUGGAGAGAGGAGACAAAUGGAAGGCAUUCUCGAGCAAGAACAACGAAACCAGCCUUCUUCACCUCCUGGAGUUUUUCUCUUGCCAUCUACAGAAGAGUGUGACUUCAGAAAGAAACUUCAGAUUGGCCAAGGUUCUAUGCAUCUUGUGUUAUUCAAGUCAAGAUGAUGUCAGUAAUCAAAUUACAGAAUCUAAUCAAGCAGGUCAGAUUCUUUUUAUUCCAAAGACAGAGUUGGAGACCAGCCAUUGUUAGUGUUGACUGAGAUGCCAAGCAAUCCCCUGAGUCUUUACAGUUGUAGGAGAGAACGCUUGCUGCCGAGGCUGAUGGUCCCUGGAGCCUACAUGACGCAAAGAAAACUGAUUCCAGAAAGGUUGUCCUCAGAUGGUCGCCAUGUUCUGCAGGCACCUAUCCAGCCGAGCAC